CCUACGGGCGGCUGCAGUGGGGAAUAUUGGACAAUGGGCGAAAGCCUGAUCCAGCCAUGCCGCGUGUGUGAAGAAGGCCUUCGGGUUGUAAAGCACUUUCAGUGGGGAAGAAAGCCUUGGGGCUAAUACCCUCGAGGAAGGACAUCACCCACAGAAGAAGCACCGGCUAACUCCGUGCCAGCAGCCGCGGUAAUACGGAGGGUGCGAGCGUUAAUCGGAAUUACUGGGCGUAAAGCGCGCGUAGGCGGUCUGAUAAGCCGGUUGUGAAAGCCCCGGGCUCAACCUGGGAACGGCAUCCGGAACUGUCAGGCUAGAGUGCAGGAGAGGAAGGUAGAAUUCCCGGUGUAGCAGUGAAAUGCGUAGAGAUCGGGAGGAAUACCAGUGGCGAAGGCGGCCUUCUGGACUGACACUGACGCUGAGGUGCGAAAGCGUGGGUAGCAAACAGGAUUAGAUACCCCGGUAGUC
rnacentral:rRNA from 1 species